ensembl:lncRNA
UGGACAGACAGGAAGGAUGGUAAUGUUGUUUUCUAUGGGACCAGACAGGAAGAGAUGGGUGGUAUGGUGUUUUCUAUGGGACCAGACAGGAAGAGGUGGUAUGUUUGUUUUCUAUGGGACCAGACCGGAGAGAUGGAGGUGGUAAUGUUGUUUCUCAUGGGACCAGACAGGAAGAGAUGAGGUGGUAAUGUUGUUUUCUAUGGGCCCGACAGGAAGAGAUGGUAAUGUUGUUUUCUAUGGGCCAGACAGGAGAGAGAGGUGGUAAUGUUGUUUCUAUGGGCCAGACAGGAGGAUGGAGGUGGUAAUGUUGUUUUCUAUGGGACCGACAGGAGAUGGGGGUGGUAAUGUUUUUCUAGGGACCAGACAGGAAGAGAUGGAGUGGUAAUGUUGUUUUCUAUGGGACCAGACAGGAAGAGAUGGAGGUUGUAAUGUUGUUUUUAUGGGACCAGACAGGAAGAGAGGUGGUAUGUUGUUUUCUAUGGGACCAGACAGGAGAGAGAUGGUAAUGUUGUUUUCUAUGGGACCAGACGGAAGAGAUGGAGGUGGUAAUGUUGUUUUCUAUGGGACCAGACAGGAAGAGAGGGGUGGUAAUGUUGUUUUCUAUGGGACCAGACAGGAAGAUGGAGUGGUAAUGUUGUUUUCUAUGGGACCAGACCGGAAGAGAUGGAGUGGUAAUGUUGUUUUCUAUGGGACCAGACAGGAAGAGAUGGAGGUGGUAAUGUUGUUUUCUAUGGGACCAGACAGGAAGAGAUGGAGGUGGUAAUGUUGUUUUCUAUGGGACCAGACAGGAGAGAUGGAGUGGUUAUGUGUUUUCUAUGGGGACCAGGACAGGAAGAGAUGGAGGUGGUAAUGUUGUUUUCUAUGGGACCCGACCGGAGAGAUGGAGGUGGUAAUGUUGUUUUCUAUGGGACAGACAGGCAGCGAUGGGAGGUGGGUAAAUGUGUUUUCUAUGGGACCAGACAGGAAGAGAUGGUAAUGUUGUUUUCUAUGGGACCAGACAGGAAGAGAUGGUAAUGUUGUUUUCUAUGGUACCAGACAGGAAGAGAUGGUAAUGUUGUUUUCUUCUGUGAUGAAAUGUAAAGUGCCUUCGGAAAGUAUACAGACCCCUUGACUUUUUCCACAUUUUGUUACGUAACAACCUUAUUCUAAAAUUGAUUUUAAAAAAUUGUUUCCUCAAUCACAAUACCUCAUAAUGACAAAGAAAAAACGGGUUUUUAGACAUUUUUGCUAAUUUAUUCAAAAUAAACUGAAAUAUCAUACUUACACAAGUAUUCAGACCCUUUACUCAGCACUUUGUUGAAGCACCUUUAGCAGCGAUUACAGCCUCCAGUCUUCAUCGGUAUGAAGGUAACUUGGCACACCUGUAUUUGGGGAGUUUCUCCCAUUCUUCUCUGCAGAUCCAAGCUAUGUCAGGAUCGAUGGGGAGCGUCGCUGCACAGCUAUUUUCAGGUCUCCAGAGAUGUUCGAUCGGGUUGGUGCCAGAUUUCCUCCAGACGUGACACUUGGCAUUCUGGCUAAAGAGUUCAAUCUUGGUUUCAUCAGACCAGAGAAUCUUGUUUCUCAUGGUCAGAGUCCUUUCGGUGCAUUUUGGUAAACUCUAAUGUAAAUAUAAAUAAGGUAUUUCUGUUUUGUAUUUGUUUUUACAUUUGCCCAAAAUAAAAAUAAAAACAGUUUUUGCUUUGUCAUUAUGGGGUAUUGUGUGUAGAUUGCUGAGGAUUUUUAUUUAUUUAAUCAAUUUUUGAAUAAGGCUAUAACAUAACAAAAUGUGGAAAAAGUCCAGGUGUCUGAAUACAUUCCAAAGGCACUGUGUACUUCCUAAAUGUCACCCUGUUCCCUUUAUAGUACACUACUUUUGACCAGGGUAGUGCACUAUAAAAGGACUAGGGUGCCAUUUGGGAUAGACGAUAUACUGUAAUAUUUGUUGAAGGAAUGAUAUGAUUGGACUUUGUAAAAAUAAUUUCUUUUUGUAUCUGCUUCUUUUGUAGAAUCAACAUGUCUAAUAUAUUUGUCAAAAGAUCAGUUUUAUGUUCUGUGGUGUGUUUAUUUUAGAUUUUAGUGUGGCGUCAUUGUGGGAGAUUUUCUUGUUAUACCGUACAGACUUUAACCAAAUACAUUUCAACUCAGUUUUUCACAAUUCCUGACAUUUAAUCCUAGUAAAAAUUCCCUGUCUUAGGUCAGAUAGAAUCACCACUUUAUUUUAAGAAUGUGAAAUGUCAGAAUAAUAGUAUAGAGAAUGAUUUAUUUCAGCUUUUAUUUCUUUCAUCACAUUCCCAGUGGGUCAGAAGUUUACAUACACUCAAUUAGUAUUUGGUAGCAUUGCCUUUAAAUUGUUUAACUUCGGUCAAAUGUUUUGGGUAGCCUUCCACAAGCUUCCCACAAUAAGUUGCGUGAAUUUUGGCCCAUUCCUACUGACAGAGCUGGUGUAACUGAGUCAGGUUUUGUAGGCCUCCUUGCUCACACACACUCUUUUUCAAUUCUGUUCACAACUUUUCUAUAGGUUUGAGGUCAGGGCUUUGUGAUGGCCACUUCAGUACCUUGACUUUGUUGUCCUUAUGCCAUUUUGCCACAACUUUGCAAGUAUGCUUGGGGUCAUUGUCCAUUUGGAUGACACAUUUGCAACCAAGCUUUAACUUCCCGACUGAUGUCUUGAGAUGUUGCUUCAAUAUAUCCACAUAAUUUUCCUACCUCAUGAUGCCAUCUAUUUUGUGAAGUGCACCAGUCCCUCCUACAGCAAAGCACCCCCACAACAUGAUGCUGCCACCCCCGUGCUCCACGGUUGGGAUGGUGUUCUUCGGCUUGCAAGCCUCCCCCUUUUUCCUCCAAACAUAACAAUGAUCAUUACGGCCAAACAGUUCUAAUUUUGUUUCAUCAGACCAGAGGACAUUUCUCCAAAAAGUAUGAUCUUUGUCCCCAUGUGCAGUUGCAAACCAUAGUCUGGCUUUUUUAUGGCGGUUUUGGAGCAGUGGCUUCUUCCUUGCUGAGAGGCCUUUCAGGUUAUGUUGAUAUAGGACUCAUUUUACUGUGGAUAUAGAUACUUUUGUACCUGUUUCAUCCAGCAUCUUCACAAGGUCCUUUGCUGUUCUGCGAUUGAUUUGCACUUUUCACACCAAAGUACGUUUAUCUCUAGGAGACAGAACGCGUCUCCUUCCUGAGCAAUAUGACGGCUGCGUGGUUCCAUGGUUUUUAUACUUGCGUACUAUUGUUUGUACAGAUGAAUGUGGUAGCUUCAGGCAUUUGAAAAUUGCUCCCAAGGAUGAAACAGACUUGUGGAGGUCUACAAUUUAUUUUCUGAGGUCUUGGAUGAUUUCUUUUGAUUUUCCCAUGAUGUCAAGCAAAGACGCACUGAGUUUGAAGGUAGGUCUUGAAAUACAUCCACAUGUACACCUCCAAUUGCCUCAAAUUAUGUCAAUUAGCCUAUCAGAAGCUUCUAAUGCCAUGACAAUUUUCUGGAAUUUUCCAAGCUGUUUAAAGGCACAGUCAACUUAGUGUAUGUAAACUUCUGACCCACUGGAAUUGUGAUACGGUGAAUUAUAAGUUAAAUAAUCUGUCUGUAAACAAUUGUUGGAAAAAUUACUUGUGUCAUGCACAAAGAAGAUGCCCUAACCGACUUGCCAAAACUAUAGUUUGUUAAAAAUAAAUUUGUGGAGUGGUUGAAAAACUAGUUUUACUGACUCCAACCUAAGUGUAUGUAAACUUCCGACUUCAACUGUACAUGGUAGUAGGCUGGCAAUAGCCGUAACCAGGUAUAGUAAACAGAUAUACAGGAUAUCCUGUCUCAGGAUAAUAACUGGGCUCCCAAGUGGUGCAGUGGUCUAAGGCACUGUAUCUCAGUGCUAGAGGCGUCACUACAGACCCUGGUUCGAUUCCAGGCUGAAUCACAACUGGCUGUGAUUCGGUGUCCCAUAGGGUGGUGCACAAUUGGCCUGGCUAGGCCUUCAUUGUAAAUAAGAAUGUGUUCUUAACUGGCUUGCCUAUUUAAAUGAAGGUGAAAAAAAAAAUAUAUAUAUAUAUGGUAGUUGGCUGAUAAUGGCCAUAAUCAGGUAUAGUAAACAGAAAUAAACUCAGCAAAAAAAAAACGGGAACUUGCAGGUGCCUUGGUGUAAGAGUGAGGUUUAUUUUUUUUACAUCUCACAGCAAGAACUAGCAAAUCUGUUGCAGUCCAUGAGGAGGAGAUGCACUGCAGUACUUAAUGCAGCUGGUGGCCACACCUGAUACUGACUGUUACUUUUGAUUUUGACCCCCACCUUUGUUCAGGGACACAAUAUUCCAUUUCUGUUAGUCACAUGUCUGUAGAACUUGUUCAAUUUAUGUCUCAGUUGUUUAAUCUUAUGUUCAUACAAAUAUUUACACAUGUUAAGUUUGCUGAAAAUAAACGCAGUUGACAGUGAGAGGACGUUUCU